rnacentral:rRNA from 1 species
CAGCCGCCGCGGGAAUACGUAGGUGGCAGGCGUUGUCCGGAAUUAUUGGGCGUAAAGGGCUCGCAGGCGGUUUCUUAAGUCUGAUGUGAAAGCCCCCGGCUCAACCGGGGAGGGUCAUUGGAAACUGGGAAACUUGAGUGCAGAAGAGGAGAGUGGAAUUCCACGUGUAGCGGUGAAAUGCGUAGAGAUGUGGAGGAACACCAGUGGCGAAGGCGACUCUCUGGUCUGUAACUGACGCUGAGGAGCGAAAGCGUGGGGAGCGAACAGGAUAAGAUACCCCUGUAGUCCCUGUCUCUUAUAC